GAUGAACGCUGGCGGCGUGCUUAACACAUGCAAGUCGAACGGAAAGGCUCCUGCUUGCAGGGGUACUCGAGUGGCGAACGGGUGAGUAACACGUGGGUGAUCUGCCCUGCACUUCGGGAUAAGCCUGGGAAACUGGGUCUAAUACCGGAUAGGACGAUGGUUUGGAUGCCAUUGUGGAAAGUUGUUCGGUGUGGGAUGAGCUCGCGGCCUAUCAGCUUGUUGGUGGGGUAAUGGCCUACCAAGGCGUCGACGGGUAGCCGGCCUGAGAGGGUGUACGGCCACAUUGGGACUGAGAUACGGCCCAGACUCCUACGGGAGGCAGCAGUGGGGAAUAUUGCACAAUGGGCGCAAGCCUGAUGCAGCGACGCCGCGUGGGGGCUGACGGCCUUCGGGUUGUAACCUCCUUUCGCUAGGGACGAAGAGCAAGUGCCGGUACCUGGAGAAGAAGCACCGGCUAACUACGUG
rnacentral:rRNA from 1 species